UACGUAGGGACCAAGCGUUGUUCGGAUUUACUGGGCGUAAAGGGCGCGUAGGCGGCGUGACAAGUCACUUGUGAAAUCUCCGGGCUUAACUCGGAACGGUCAAGUGAUACUGUCGUGCUAGAGUGCAGAAGGGGCAAUCGGAAUUCUUGGUGUGGCGGUGAAAUGCGUAGAUAUCAAGAGGAACACCUGAGGUGAAGACGGGUUGCUGGGCUGACACUGACGCUGAGGCGCGAAAGCUAGGGGAGCAAACGGG
rnacentral:rRNA from 1 species